rnacentral:tRNA from 1 species
GGGCCCGUAGCUUAGCCCGGUAGAGCGCCCGGCUCAUAACCAAUUGUGAGGGACCGGGUGGUCCGGGGUUCAAGUCCCCGCGGGCCCA